rnacentral:rRNA from 1 species
UACGUAUGGAGCAAGCGUUGUCCGGAAUCAUUGGGCGUAAAGCGCGCGUAGGUGGCUUCGUAAGUCCGUUGUGAAAGUCAAAGGCUCAACCUUUGAAAGCCGAUGGAUACUGUGAAGCUAGAGUACGGAAGAGGCGAGUGGAAUUCCUGGUGUAGCGGUGGAAUGCGCAGAUAUCAGGAGGAACACCAAUAGCGAAGGCAGCUCGCUGGGACGUUACUGACACUGAGGCGCGAAAGCGUGGGGAGCGAACAGG